rnacentral:rRNA from 1 species
AUUAUAAUAUUGUAUGGUAUAGUAAUUAAAGUUGAGGUGUUUAAAGAUGAGUGUGCGUUCCAUUAGUUAGUUGGUGAGGUAAUGGCUCACCAAGACGAUGAUGGGUAGGGGGCGUGAGAGCGUGGUCCCCCACACGGGUACUGAGACACGGACCCGACUCCUACGGGAGGUAGUAGUAAGGAAUAUUGGAUAAUGGGCGGAAGCCUGAUCCAGCCAUCCCGCGUGCAGGAUGAAUGCCCUAUGGGUUGUAAACUGCUUUUAUAAGGGAAGAAACCCUUGGAUUUGUUUGGGGUUGAUGGUAUUUUAAGAAUAAGCACCGGUUAACUCCGUGCCAGUAGUUGUGGUAAUACGGAGGGUGCAAGCGUUAUCCGGAAUCACUGGGUUUAAAGGGUGCGUAGGCGGCCGAAAUAGUCAGAGGUGAAAUUCUACAGUUUAAUUGUAGAAUUGCCUUUGAAAUUGUUCGGCUAGAAUAGAGUUGAGGUUAGCGGAAUGUGACAUGUAGUGGUGAAAUGUAUAGAUAUGUUAUAGAAUAUUAAUUGUGAAGGUAGCUAAUUGGGUUUUUAUUGACGCUGAGGCACGAAAGUGUGGGGAGUGAACAGGAUUAGAUAUCCUGGUAGUUCACGCCCUAAACGAUGUUAACUCGACGUAUGGAUUUAAUUUGUGUGUUUAAGGGAAAUUGUUAAGUUAAUUAUUUGGGGAGUAUGUUUGUAAGAAUGAAAUUUAAAGGAAUUGAUGGGGGUUUGUAUAAGUGGUGGAGUAUGUGGUUUAAUUUGAUGAUACGCGAGGAACCUUACCUGGGCUCUAAUGUGAUUGUUAUUUGGAGAAAUUUGGGGUUUUUUUGGGAUAGGAAAUAAGGUGCUGCAUGGUUGUCGUCAGCUCGUGUUGUGAGGUGUUGGGUUAAGUUUUGUAAUGAGUGUAAUUUUUAUUGUUAGUUGUCAGCAAGUUAUGUUGGGGAUUUUAGUGAGAUUGUUGGUGUAAGUUGUGAGGAAGGUGGGGAUGACGUCAAAUCAUCAUGGCCUUUAUGCCCAGGGCGACACACGUGCUACAAUGGUCGGCAUAGAGGGUAGUGAAACCGUGAGGUGGAGCUAAUUUUAUAAAGCCGAUUUUAGUUUGGAUUGAAGUUUGGAAUUUGAUUAUAUGAAGUUGGAAUUGUUAGUAAUUGUGUAUCAGUUAUGGUGUGGUGAAUAUGUUUUUGGAUUUUGUAUAUG